rnacentral:rRNA from 1 species
CCUACGGGGCGCUGCAGUGGGGAAUAUUGCACAAUGGGGGAAACCCUGAUGCAGCGACGCCGCGUGAGUGAAGAAGUAUUUCGGUAUGUAAAGCUCUAUCAGCAGGGAAGAAAAUGACGGUACCUGAUUAAGAAGCCCCGGCUAACUACGUGCCAGCAGCCGCGGUAAUACGUAGGGGGCAAGCGUUAUCCGGAUUUACUGGGUGUAAAGGGAGCGUAGACGGCAGCACAAGUCUGGAGUGAAAUGCCGGGGCUUAACCCCGGAACUGCUUUGGAAACUGUGCAGCUAGAGUGCAGGAGAGGUAAGUGGAAUUCCUAGUGUAGCGGUGAAAUGCGUAGAUAUUAGGAGGAACACCAGUGGCGAAGGCGGCUUACUGGACUGUAACUGACGUUGAGGCUCGAAGGCGUGGGGAGCGAACAGGAUUAGAUACCCUUGUAGUC